GUGGGGAAUUUUGCGCAAUGGGGGAAACCCUGACGCAGCAACGCCGCGUGAGUGAUGAAGGCCUUCGGGUCGUAAAGCUCUGUCAGAGGGGAAGAAAUGCAGGGGUGCUAAUAUCAUCUUUGCUUGACGGUACCCUCAAAGGAAGCACCGGCUAACUCCGUGCCAGCAGCCGCGGUAAUACGGAGGGUGCGAGCGUUGUCCGGAAUUAUUGGGCGUAAAGCGCGUGUAGGCGGUUUGGUAAGUCUGAUGUGAAAGCCCCGGGCUCAACCUGGGAAGUGCAUUGGAAACUGUCAGACUUGAAGACGGGAGAGGGUAGUGGAAUUCCUAGUGUAGGAGUGAAAUCCGUAGAUAUUAGGAGGAACACCGGUGGCGAAGGCGGCUACCUGGACCGAUAUUGACGCUGAGACGCGAAAGCGUGGGGAGCAAACAGGAUUAGAAACCCCAGUAGUCC
rnacentral:rRNA from 1 species